rnacentral:lncRNA from 1 species
AUAAUAAUCAUGGAAACUUAUUGGCUACACAGUAUGUGACUUGCCAGGAUAUAAAUAUACUUGGACAUUCUCUAUUAGAGAAUAGAAAUCUCUAAGGGAUUCUCAAUUAAAGGGGCCACUUGGAUAAUGUACUUUUGCUUGCUGGUUUAUUCACAGGUUUAUAUCUCCAUGAAUUUGAGAAAAUUAAGAAUAAAAGAUUCAUUGAUUACAGAAAAUCAUCCCAAGAAGAUGCUCCCUUUUGACCAGUACAAAAGAGAGGUAUUUUAUUGGAAACUCUGCCUGUUCCCAUUUGUCCAUGCAGUUUUUCACCAUCUCAAAUGGGGUCACCAACUUAUAUCUUCACUACAUCAGCCCACUUUGUGACUACUGUCUGCCAGACUUCAGCCCUACAUUCCUGGGUGAUUUCAGUCAGAUACGGCAAUACUUUCCCCCAAAGCUGAAAACAUGAGGUAAAUAAAAUCUGUGGUCUCUUUCUUGGACA